rnacentral:rRNA from 1 species
UUUAUGGAGAGUUUGAUCCUGGCUCAGGAUGAACGCUGGCGGCGUGCCUAAUACAUGCAAGUCGAGCGAACGGACGAGAAGCUUGCUUCUCUGAUGUUAGCGGCGGACGGGUGAGUAACACGUGGAUAACCUACCUAUAAGACUGGGAUAACUUCGGGAAACCGUAGCUAAUACCGGAUAAUAUUUUGAACCGCAUGGUUCAAAAGUGAAAGACGGUCUUGCUGUCACUUAUAGAUGGAUCCGCGCUGCAUUAGCUAGUUGGUAAGGUAACGGCUUACCAAGGCAACGAUUCAUAGCCGACCUGAGAGGGUGAUCGGCCACACUGGAACUGAGACACGGUCCAGACUCCUACGGGAGGCAGCAGUAGGGAAUCUUCCGCAAUGGGCGAAAGCCUGACGGAGCAACGCCGCGUGAGUGAUGAAGGUCUUCGGAUCGUAAAACUCUGUUAUUAGGGAAGAACAUAUGUGUAAGUAACUGUGCACAUCUUGACGGUACCUAAUCAGAAAGCCACGGCUAACUACGUGCCAGCAGCCGCGGUAAUACGUAGGUGGCAAGCGUUAUCCGGAAUUAUUGGGCGUAAAGCGCGCGUAGGCGGUUUUUUAAGUCUGAUGUGAAAGCCCACGGCUCAACCGUGGAGGGUCAUUGGAAACUGGAAAACUUGAGUGCAGAAGAGGAAAGUGGAAUUCCAUGUGUAGCGGUGAAAUGCGCAGAGAUAUGGAGGAACACCAGUGGCGAAGGCGACUUUCUGGUCUGUAACUGACGCUGAUGUGCGAAAGCGUGGGGAUCAAACAGGAUUAGAUACCCUGGUAGUCCACGCCGUAAACGAUGAGUGCUAAGUGUUAGGGGGUUUCCGCCCCUUAGUGCUGCAGCUAACGCAUUAAGCACUCCGCCUGGGGAGUACGACCGCAAGGUUGAAACUCAAAGGAAUUGACGGGGACCCGCACAAGCGGUGGAGCAUGUGGUUUAAUUCGAAGCAACGCGAAGAACCUUACCAAAUCUUGACAUCCUUUGACAACUCUAGAGAUAGAGCCUUCCCCUUCGGGGGACAAAGUGACAGGUGGUGCAUGGUUGUCGUCAGCUCGUGUCGUGAGAUGUUGGGUUAAGUCCCGCAACGAGCGCAACCCUUAAGCUUAGUUGCCAUCAUUAAGUUGGGCACUCUAAGUUGACUGCCGGUGACAAACCGGAGGAAGGUGGGGAUGACGUCAAAUCAUCAUGCCCCUUAUGAUUUGGGCUACACACGUGCUACAAUGGACAAUACAAAGGGCAGCGAAACCGCGAGGUCAAGCAAAUCCCAUAAAGUUGUUCUCAGUUCGGAUUGUAGUCUGCAACUCGACUACAUGAAGCUGGAAUCGCUAGUAAUCGUAGAUCAGCAUGCUACGGUGAAUACGUUCCCGGGUCUUGUACACACCGCCCGUCACACCACGAGAGUUUGUAACACCCGAAGCCGGUGGAGUAACCUUUUAGGAGCUAGCCGUCGAAGGUGGGACAAAUGAUUGGGGUGAAGUCGUAACAAGGUAGCCGUAUCGGAAGGUGCGGCUGGAUCACCUCCUUU